GCUCUCCUGAAUGACUCUGCAGAGAUUGGCCUUUUGUCACCUGGUCAAGAGCAGAAAAGCUGCCCUGCUGGCUGGGGCUGAUGGUGGUGUGGGGAUGUGCAUGUGUGAGCUGAAGGCUGUGCUGCUUACCAGGCAUGGAGCCACCUCCUGGCGCACCUGUAGGACCCUGCCUGGGCCUCCUUUGUUCUGAGUGAAGAUGAGUGAAGAUCUUAUCCAGUUCACUUUCCUCCACCACCUGCAUACAAAACCAGCCUUUCUCUCAAAUGAAGACAACAGAAGUCUCUCUUCUCUGACCAGCUGCCUGUUUUCAUGACGAACCAGAUGCCAAAGGACUGAAGGAAAAAACACACAUUUCCAGCCCUAGUGGAUGUAAAGAUGACCUGAAGAAUUAUAAACCUGCCAGUCAAACUGAGAUGCAGUGAGAUCUCAAGAUUAUUACUCAG